rnacentral:rRNA from 1 species
UACAGAGGGUGCGAGCGUUAAUCGGAAUUACUGGGCGUAAAGGGCGCGUAGGCGGUUAUGCAAGUGAGAUGUGAAAUUCCAGAGCUUAACUUUGGGACUGCAUUUUAGACUGAAUAACUGGAGUAUUGUAGAGGAUAGGGGAAUUUCCGGUGUAGCGGUGAAAUGCGUAGAGAUCGGAAGGAACACCAGUGGCGAAGGCGCCUAUCUGGACAAUAACUGACGCUGAGGCGCGAAAGCGUGGGGAGCAAACAGG